CAGCCGCCACGGGAACACCAGCACCUCGAGUGGUCAGGAGGUUUAUUGGGCCUAAAGCAUCCGUAGCCGGUUGCAUAAGUUUUCGGUUAAAUCUAUGCGCUUAACGUAUAGGCCGCCGAAAAUACUGUGCAGCUAGGGAGUGGGAGAGGUACACGGUACUCGAUAGGAAGGGGUAAAAUCCUUUGAUCUAUUGAUGACCACCUGUGGCGAAGGCGGUGUACCAGAACACGUUCGACGGUGAGGGAUGAAAGCUGGGGGAGCAAACCGGAUUAGAUACCCGUGUAGUCCCUGUCUCUUAUAC
rnacentral:rRNA from 1 species